rnacentral:rRNA from 1 species
CUUAAUUUGACUCAACGCGGGGAAUCUCACCAGGCCCGGACACUGGAAGGAUUGACAGAUUGAGAGCUCUUUCUUGAUUCAGUGGGUGGUGGUGCAUGGCCGUUCUUAGUUGGUGGAGCGAUUUGUCUGGUUAAUUCCGAUAACGAACGAGACUCUAGCCUGCUAAAUAGACGAUGGAUCCUAGUGGUGGAUCGCUCUUCUUAGAGGGACAAGUGGCGUCUAGCCAUAUGAGAGUGAGCAAUAA